rnacentral:rRNA from 1 species
GACGAACGCUGGCGGCGUGCUUAACACAUGCAAGUCGAACGAUGAACCCGGAGCUUGCUCCGGCGGAUUAGUGGCGAACGGGUGAGUAACACGUGAGUAACCUGCCCUUGACUCUGGGAUAACUGCUAGAAAUGGUAGCUAAUACCGGAUACGACCCUCGGUGGCAUCACCAGGGGGUGGAAAGAAUUUCGGUCAAGGAUGGACUCGCGGCCUAUCAGCUAGUUGGUGAGGUAACGGCUCCCCAAGGCGACGACGGGUAGCCGGCCUGAGAGGGUGACCGGCCACACUGGGACGGAGACACGGCCCAGACUCCUACGGGAGGCAGCAGUGGGGAAUAUUGCACAAUGGGCGCAAGCCUGAUGCAGCAACGCCGCGUGAGGGAUGACGGCCUUCGGGUUGUAAACCUCUUUCAGCACCGACGAAGCGCAAGUGACGGUAGGUGCAGAAGAAGGACCGGCCAACUACGUGCCAGCCGCCGCGGUAA